UCGGGUUGUAAAGCACUUUAAGCGAGGAGGAAGGUCAUCAUACUAAUAUUAUGAUGAAUUGACGUUACUCGCAGAAUAAGCACCGGCUAACUCUGUGCCAGCAGCCGCGGUAAUACAGAGGGUGCAAGCGUUAAUCGGAAUUACUGGGCGUAAAGCGCGCGUAGGCGGUUUGUUAAGUCGGAUGUGAAAUCCCUGGGCUCAACCUAGGCACUGCAUCCGAUACUGGCUGACUAGAGUGUGGGAGAGGAAGGUAGAAUUCCAGGUGUAGCGGUGAAAUGCGUAGAGAUCUGGAGGAAUACCGAUGGCGAAGGCAGCCUUCUGGCCUAACACUGACGCUGAGGUGCGAAAGCAUGGGGAGCAAACAGGAUUAGAUACCCUGGUAGUCCAUGCUGUAAACGAUGUCAACUAGCCGUUGGGGUCUUUAAGACUUUAGUGGCGUAGCUAACGCGAUAAGUUGACCGCCUGGGGAGUACGGUCGCAAGACUAAAACUCAAAUGAAUUGACGGGGG
rnacentral:rRNA from 1 species